rnacentral:rRNA from 1 species
GACGAACGCUGGCGGCGUGCUUAGCACAUGCAAGUCGAACGGAAAGGCCCUGCUUUUGUGGGGUGCUCGAGUGGCGAACGGGUGAGUAACACGUGAGUAACCUGCCCUUGACUUUGGGAUAACUUCAGGAAACUGGGGCUAAUACCGGAUAGGAGCUCCUGCUGCAUGGUGGGGGUUGGAAAGUUUCGGCGGUUGGGGAUGGACUCGCGGCUUAUCAGCUUGUUGGUGGGGUAGUGGCUUACCAAGGCUUUGACGGGUAGCCGGCCUGAGAGGGUGACCGGCCACAUUGGGACUGAGAUACGGCCCAGACUCCUACGGGAGGCAGCAGUGGGGAAUAUUGCACAAUGGGCGGAAGCCUGAUGCAGCAACGCCGCGUGCGGGAUGACGGCCUUCGGGUUGUAAACCGCUUUCGCCUGUAACGAAGCGUGAGUGACGGUAAUGGGUAAAGAAGCACCGGCUAACUACGUG